UGCUUAAAAACAGCAACCAGCAAUCGUCCACAGUACUGUUGACACAGGAAGAGUACUCCUGCUGACUGGAUCUCCAGGGAGGAGGGAGGGGCUAACCAGGUGGUCGCCAUAAGAAGAGACUUCAGAGUGUUCGUGGCAGGGUCCAUGGAGUUGUGGACAGGACGGGACCACCCAGAGUUCGAAUCCGGGCUCUGCCCCACUUUUCUCAUCUCCCGAUGGGCGUUCAGGCCUGUGGCCGGGGGCUGUCGGGGGUCCCAUUGCCUCAGUGUGGACAUCGCCAGAAUGUGCUCAGCACCCCGCGAUGCCUCAGGAAAGCUGCCCUUGCUGCACACACUACCGGGAACAGCAGGUGCUUCCAGCCCACAAACCCAGAGACGCGGAGGUCCGGCGGUUUGGCGCCAAGCUCCCACUUCCUGUGGAGCCCCUUCGUUCGGCAGUGGCUCCUCUGCUGCUUCGGCCCAGGGCCAGACAAGGGUUCCCAGCCCUUCAGAUCGCCCGGGGACCUCAGGGCACGACUGCCCCGCACCCUGGAGAGACCUCCUCCACCGCCCCUAGGCCACGCCCCUGCUGCGUGCGACCUGGGCCUCUCGCCCAGCUGAAGACGUGCAUUUCCUUCCCCAGCCUGUGAUUGGCUUAGAAAGACACACAUGAUGCCUCGCUGGCCAAUGAGGUGUGAAGACGAUUGCCCUGGGGGAUUCUGGGAAAGGCUUUCUUCCCGAGACAGAGGGAGAGAGAGAGAGAGUGCGAGAGGAGAGAAGGAGAGAAGCGGAGAGCUCCGUGUCUGGUUAGUCGGCAAGGACUGUCAGAAUGGGUGGAAAGAUGCCUUUACGGGCCAUCUACAAAAUGUGCACCUAAAACGAUGCGGCUGGAGAGAUCAAAAGCGAAGGACAUGGAGAGACAUCUGACAAAUGUGAGUGAAGGAAGCAAGGGUUGCGGGCCUCACGCUGUCCAGGUGGAAUGCACCGCCGAGACCCAGGACAGCGAGGCUGUUGGCACUGAGAAGGGAGAGCUGGUCAUGGGUGGGCGGUGGUGGUCUGCUGGUGGGGGGCCUCCAGCUCCCCUCACACUUGGAGAGACGGACUGUGGGGGUGUCGUGGGGCAAGGCCGGGACAAUGGGACCCCCGAGCUGGUGGAUAGCGUGUGGGGAGCUUCCUGGGUCAGCAGGUGGGGGCUGGCAGGGAGCCUCCCCGAGCACUCCCUCAGUUCUCCAUUCCCUUUUCCUUCGAGGACCACUCUUCCCCGGAGGAGGAGGGAAUGGCGCCCAGAGGCUCCUAAAGGGGAGAGUGGCAGGGCUGGGGAGAGGCCUGGGAUUGGCCCCCGCAGUUCUGGGUCAGGACAAGUGGAGUGAUGAUGGAAGGCCGCCCUGGCGGCGUCCGGCACCUCCCCCAAGCCCGUGCCUUGUAGCGCCAACGGUGUGCAGGGGAAGCUCGGGGAGCCGGUGGUAGAGCUGCUGGGCACCGGCUGCUCCUGACCCAGGAACAGGGAUCACUACCCCCCUUACAAUCACAGGGUAGCUGGCUUUGCAUUUAUGUUUCAAGACUUCAUGCCAUGAUCUAAAAUAUUGCUUUCAUAAACUUGGAACGGACACAGGCAUGAUGGAGCCUGCAGUUUCCUUCAUAACCUAUUUUUUAAAUGUCAGGUUGCAUAAUGUGAAGGGGGCUCCUUAUGUUUUCCUCGUGGAUGUCGGGAGGCGAGGGGUUAAGAAGUACAGCAGGGAACAAAGUGUGGCCUGAUUUCAGACCUGGGUUCUCAGCCACCGGUUCCAGUUAGAGAGAUGAUUCAGGGAUUACAGACGCGGUCCUUUCUUAAACACACACUUCAGCUCUCCCCCUUUCCCUCAGGAGAGGUCUCGGAUGACCCCUCCCAGGCAGGAGGAAAAACCCACAGACCCCACCUGACCAGGGUGCAGACCUGGGGCAACCAGGAGGGAACUUGUGCCUGGAGGGUCGAGGGGAGGGUCUGGAGCUGGCACCUUCUUCACCGGGACCCCUGCUGUCCUCCCCAGCCAGCCCUCUGGCCUCCUGUGAUGGGCACCGGGUGGCCUCGGGCCUCUUUGCGGCCCUCCCAGGUGGCUGUUACGGUUUUAUGAGCCCAUUUUGCAGUUCAUGAGAGUGAGGUGAGGCGCAGGUGACCGGCUCGAGGUUACAAGGCUGCAGGUGGCGGGGAAGGAGCCAGGAUCUGUGGCCGCUGCAGGGACAUCCCUCAGGCUGGGGGCUCGCAGGGCGUGACGGGCGGGCGAACGUUGGGGUCACGCUGCAGCAAACAGGCCCCCGGGAUGUCGGCCGAAUGAAUGGAAACUUUCCGUGCUGGCAGCUCUCUGGUUCUCGUCACGUGCAUGUGUGAUGUCAGUGCAGGGGCUGAGAUUGGGUGUCUCUGAGACUCCCUUGCAGACUGUGCUGACACCCACCGAUGCUAUGUGGGGGUGCUGUUCUCUGCUGGAGUCAUGCCCUGGCCCCACUGCCCGGCUUUCCACGUGUGUCCGGUGAAGGGUGUCCCGUCCCUGCCCCUUCUUGUCAGGAUCCCCCCCCCCGGUUAGGACCCCGUGCAGUUCCCGCCACCCGCUUCUACUGGCCCUGGUGCCUGUGGUGCCCGCACACCUGCCCUCCUUUACCCCCGGGGCCGAAGUGCGCCGGCCCCACCCCCUCCCCUCGUCCACUGGCAGGCCCUGCAGCAGGGCGCCGAGCACUCGGGGGCCCGGUGGCCGUGUGUUUCUUCCUCGGGAAUCUGGGCCAGGCUGUGCUUCCCCGUCCACUCUGACCUUCCUGAGGCCAGGGCCGUUCCUGUGAAGGGACAGCCACGGCCCCCUGCCACCUCUCUCUGGACCCGGGCCGGGUCUCCCAGGCAGCUUUCCACGGGGCCCGCUGGUCCCGCUGCCUCCUCCUCAGGGACUCGCAGGCUGUUUCUGGUGCCAGAAGGCUGGCCUUUCUGGGGUUUCGUCUCGUUGGAUCCGGCCAGCUCUCCCAGCCCUCUGAGACCUAAUGCGCUUCUGCUUUUGUGGCGCAGGGUGUCAGGGCCCCUCCCUGCUCCUCCCCAUCCGUGGACAGUCCUCCGCCAACCCCAGAGAGGGCUGUCCGUCCGGUGCCAAGCAGGAGGUCAGCCUGCUGACCGGACCCCCGACCAUCUCCACGGUCUCCUCCUGUUGUGGGAAGUGCGGGUCUGCUGGGAUUUUUUUACUCCACAGAAAGAUGACCGCGGACAGAGGAGUGAAAACUUUUAUUUCAAAAAGCCUCUGAUAUGGACACAGAAAAAAACACAGGAAGGAGUAAAAAUAAAACUAACAAAUAAACAGGAUCCUGAAUAAAAUGUGGAACCAAUCACUCUCUUGAGGAAAAAGAGCUUUGGGUUGUUUUUUAUUAUUUUUUUUAAACACAUCGCUUUGUGUCACUGGAUGGCCCAGGGGUCCAGGCCUCUGAGUAGAUGGGGCAGGGGUCUACAGGGUAGCACCUUUGUUCUCGGGGUUUUCGGGUUGGGGAGUCACCGUUUUCUGCCGUUUUCUGGAGACACCAGUCAGCGUGUAAGCGUUCGCUUGCCCUGAGCUCUGUGGCCCGAGGCCUCAGGAACCAAGGUCUGAGCCCUGAGGGAGGAGAACCUUAUGUGGAGGAGUCUACUCAUCAGGGGUCAGGUUUUAAAAAUGCUCUCGACCUUGGCUUUCCAAAAACGAAGCGUCCACCGUCUCACAUGAAGUUACUAGCAGACUUUUGAGAGUGUACAUGAAAUGCUAACUAAAGAAUUGUGCAGGAUUAGUGAGAAAAGUCAGACUAUGCGGGAGGUGCGGGAGGGGAGGCCGCACUCAAGCGACCCCCCAGACAGGGAAGGGGGAAGCGGCUUCGGGGAUUCAGAGCCUGCUGGGGGUGGGGGGAUGCUAACACGGUGAGCGGGGCAGGUGCUGGCAGGGUCCCGGGACCCCAGGGGCGGGCAAAACACACGCGGCUUUUCAAGCCUUUCCUUUA